UUCACUACUUGCUCAACAAAAGAAAACUCCUUAACCCUCUUUCUCUAUUUUACGAUCCUAAUUCCUAAUUUACUUCACCCAUCCAUCUCGGACUUGCGAUUGUGAUUCAAGAUAUUCAUCUCUCCCCCAUCACAUAAGAGAAUCCCUUCUUCCCUUUCCACAUUCCAUAGAGAACACAUUUUAUUGGCUUGGUGUUUGCACAACUGCCACGGAGAACCAGAAGCAUAUUGCAUUUUUUUGAAGGAGAAAAGGUGACGGCCAACCGCCAUUGAGAAAAGAGAUUAUUACAUCCAUAAUGUGAACUUGCGGCCAACUGGAGUAAAGGCACAUGAUGGGGAAUCACUUGGCAAUUUUUAAAGAAAUGCAAAGAAGGACAGGCCACAGUCUCUAGAUGGAAAUUUGGAUGCGGCUGCAGAUGUGCUGAAGCCGAUGAUUAGGCUGAGCAUUCCCACCAAGGCUAGCCGUGUUGAUUGAGAGUUUCUUCAAAGCUAAUGAGUUUGACAAGGCAGAGAAGGUUUUAGGCAUGGACCAGCACCUACUAAAUGACACACAUCGAGAGUGCAUCUGCACCCCUACAUUUUGUUUGACCAAGCUGUUUUACUCCACGCCUUUGGAGAGGCUUACGUAACGUGUGUCGAUAGUCGAAGUGGACUCUCU